rnacentral:rRNA from 1 species
CCUACGGGUGGCUGCAGUGGGGAAUAUUGCACAAUGGGGGAAACCCUGAUGCAGCGACGCCGCGUGAGUGAAGAAGUAAUUCGUUAUGUAAAGCUCUAUCAGCAGGGAAGAAAAUGACGGUACCUGAGUAAGAAGCCCCGGCUACCUCGGGGCAAGCAGCCGCGGUAAACGGUAGGGGGCAGGCGUUAUCCGGAUUUACGGGGUGUAAAGGGAGCGUAGACGGCAGUGCAAGUCUGGAGUGAAAGGCGGGGGCUCAACCCCCGGACUGCUCUGGAAACUGUACGGCUGGAGUGCAGGAGAGGUAAGUGGAAUUCCUAGUGUAGCGGUGAAAUGCGUAGAUAUUAGGAGGAACACCAGUGGCGAAGGCGGCUUACUGGACUGUAACUGACGUUGAGGCUCGAAAGCGUGGGGAGCAAACAGGAUUAGAUACCCGGGUAGUC